rnacentral:rRNA from 1 species
GACGAACGCUGGCGGCGUGCUUAACACAUGCAAGUCGAACGCUGAAGCACCAGCUUGCUGGUGUGGAUGAGUGGCGAACGGGUGAGUAAUACGUGAGUAACCUGCCCUUGACUCUGGUAUAAGCCCGGGAAACUGGGUCUAAUACUGGAUGCUACAUGUCCCCGCAUGGUGGUGUGUGGAAAGGGUUUACUGGUCUUGGAUGGGCUCACGGCCUAUCAGCUUGUUGGUGAGGUAAUGGCUCCCCAAGGCGACGACGGGUAGCCGGCCUGAGAGGGUGACCGGCGACACUGAGACUGAGACACGGCCCAGACGCCGACGGGAGGAAGCAGUGGGGAAUAUUGCACAAUGGGCGAAAGCCUGAUGCAGCGACGCCGCGUGAGGGAUGACGGCCUUCGGGUUGUAAACCUCUUGCAGCAGGGAAGAAGCCACAAGUGACGGUACCUGAAGAAGAAGCGCCGGCUAACUACGUG